rnacentral:rRNA from 1 species
ACGUAAUAGAUACCCCGGUAGUCCUGGCAGUAAACGGUGCGCGUUUGGUGUGGGGGGGUUCGACAAUCUCCGCGCCGGAGCUAAACGCGUUAAAACGCGCCGCCUGGGAAAUACGGUCGCAAGAUUAAAACUCAAAGAAAUUGACGGGGCCCGCACAAGCGGUGGAGUAUGUGGCUUAAUUCGAUGCAACGCGAAGAACCUUACCUGGGCUUGACAUGCAUCGCUAAGGCGGUGAAAGCCGCCGAGGGUAGCAAUACCUACUUUGCACAGGUGCUGCAUGGCUGUCGUCAGCUCGUGUCGUGAGAUGUUGGGUUAAGUCCCGCAACGAGCGCAACCCUUAUGAACUGUUGCAGCGACGCAAGUCGCGCUCUCUGUUCAGACCGCCCUGUGAAACGGGGUAGGAAGGUGGGGAUGACGUCAAGUCAGCAUGG